UACGUAGGGUGCAAGCGUUGUCCGGAUUUACUGGGCGUAAAGGGCGUGCAGGCGGUCUGUUAAGUGCAGGGUGAAAGCUCCCGGCUCAACUGGGAGAGGUCCUUGCAUACUGGCGGACUUGAGGGGGGUAGAGGAAAGUGGAAUUCCCGGUGUAGUGGUGAUAUGCGUAGAUAUCGGGAGGAACACCUGUGGCGAAAGCGGCUCACUGGACCAUAACUGACGCUGAUGCACGAAAGCUAGGGGAGCAAACAGG
rnacentral:rRNA from 1 species